CCCCCCCUCCCAAAUAUCCAUAGCUGCUAGCCCCUCUCAAAACUUGCCAGAAAUCCGACAGAAACAAAUAAGCAGCAGCAAAGACAAGGAGAACGGACAUAAAAAAAGACUAGGAAUUCAGUUGAUUUUUUCUCUGCUUCGUUUUUUGACUUCUAAUUUUUCCUCAGUACAUAUACACAUAUUUGAGAGGAAUAGAAGUAGAGAUUGAUAGAGGGGAUAGAAAACAAAGAGCUUCGGGUUCCAGUUUUGUCCGAGGAAAGGUUCGCCUGAAGUCGCCAUCCGAGUUUCAUCACGUUUUUCUAUUUUUGGUCUGAGUUCUCUGUCCACGGCCUUCUACUAUAAAUUGCUAAGCCUGGGAUUUUAUAUUUACUCGAGUGUUGAAGCUGCUUUGCUCAAAUUCGAGGUCCAAUUCUUGCCUUAUUUCUCUCAUUUCUUUCUGCCUUAUGCUCGAUUUUAGAUAGUACAAAUAUGAUGAUUACAUGUUUGAUAGGUUGUUUGCAGUCUAAUGUUCAUAACUUAAAGUAGAUUUUUUUAGUUGUUCUAGAUUAUAGUCUAAGUUUAAUUAUAUAAUUUUAAUUAAUAUUAUUUAAAUAUUAAAUAAGGAAUGAGCUAAGACAUUAUAAUUGUUAGCCAUUAAUGAAACAAGAUAAAUGUGUGGUGGGGUUUGGGCAAACAAAAAUUAAAAGUGUUCUAGCCGUAAAAUAGUUUUUUUGUUUUUUAUCUUUAUUUAUAUUAAAAUUGCUAGGAGCAUGAUUAGGUCGGCCAUAGUGGGUAGGCAAGCCUUAGGAUUUUGUUAGUUUCGAGGUGAGAGGUCGUUUCCUUAGUUAAAUUUAUCUGGAGAAUGCCUCGAGGGAUUUGUAUAUAUUUUAUUUCAGGGGUAUGCCCCGAAGUGAAUGUAUUUAGAGGCUGUGAUGAACACCGUGGAAGAAGUAUAAUGUAUGCUAGCACUUAUUUUUAUUUUUAUGUUAUUCAGUGGGGACGACCUCGAGCCUCUUUUGUGUAUAUUUAUCUUUUUUUUACUGUGAUUUUGCCUCAAUUUAAACAUUUUAAAAGCCACCUAGAUUAAGUAUUCAACAAUACUUGUUAGGGACUUGGGGAAUGCCUAAAACCUUCUCCCUGAGUCAAGUGAACCCCCUUACCCGAAUCUCCGGUGUGGACUUAGUUUUAGAGUCUGAAAUAUUUUAAAAGGAGAAAUCAUUUAAAAGAAAAAUAGUGACCUGGCACACCGAAAUCAAAGUCAGGUGGCUAUUCUGAGUUAGUUUCCUUUUGAAUACAAUAUUUGUCACUUUCAAAAUUAAAAAAUCCUUUUCAAGAUUUACUAAAUUUUUUAUUUAUUUAAGAGGGUUUAGUGAUGUUUGUUUACAAAGGGUGUGACAUCUCUGGAGACUCUGUUAAGGAGUUGAUGGUUCGAGCUAGCACUUGAUCUUGUUGGCUUUUAGGAUAUUAGGUUGAGGUUUUUAUGUGUUUUGUUUGCUUUCUUUGAUUUUUAUUUUGUUUAUGUCUUUUUAUUAUUUUAUAGUUGUUUAUUUGUUUACAAUUCUUUCUUUAUGUGUUACUACUUUAUAAGCAUAAUCAUGGGUUUUCAUUCUGCAACAAGUCUUUCGGAGUAUGUAUAAGCGUACAUGGUCUUUUUGUGAGUCACCGGUAUCUUUAGGGGGUGACGUGGGAGCGUGGAGUGGGUGGACAGCUAGAGCAGCCGCCAUCGACCACGUGCCGCCCCGAAUUGCUUUGUCGAAUGAACCCCAACCGUAGGUCAGCCUUUAGGUCAUACUUAUGUGCAUCAUAUCAUUUAAAUCUAGUAGGGUUCGAUCCCAGCCAUUGUGUCCCGUUGUAGGAGGCCAAUCCAAUUUAUGUCAAAAGGGUUUGUGGCCCAAAAAGAUAUUCAAUCAUCCCUAUAUGAUACACGUUGCAUCUUUGAGGGUAAAAAGAUCAUUUGGAAGAUCGGUAUUUGGGAAGGAAGGUUUAAAAAUCAAGCAAGUAUGGUCCAGUUAUAUUUUCUUUCACAACUUUUUCAAGAAAAGACAAAAAAAGUUGAAAAUAGAAAAUCCAAAAAGAUUUUACACUUUUCUAAAAUUUCAAACAAAAAUAAAAAAGAAAAUCCAAAACGAAUUUGCACCUUUUCAUUAUUUUCCAAAAUUAAAAAAAAAAAGAGAAAAGAAAAUCCAAAAAGAUCUUAUAUUUUUCAUCAUUUUCCAAAAAUUUAAAAAAAAAGAGAAAAGAAAAUUCAAAAAGAUUUUAUACUUUCCAUAUUUUCCAAAAAUCAAAAAAUAAGAAAAAGAAAAUCCAAAAAGAUUUUAUACUUUUCAUCAUUUCUCCAAAAGAAAAUUAUGGUUUUUCCAAAUUAGUUACAUUUUUUAAUGGCUUUCUCCCAUGUCCAAUCUUCCCGAACUACGCGAACCUGAUUCUCGUCUUUCGGGGCGGGAUACGUAGGCAACCCACAUAGGGUCCGUUAUUUCUUAGUAAGUCUUAGCUUCUUGGCUUCGCGGGUCGUAGCCAAAUCUAGCAUAUCCGACCACUUUUGGCCAUAUCAACCAUUCUUGCAAAAUGGGAUUAUUUUUGCAAAAACUGGUACAAUGACCCAUAUCUUAGGAUCUUGAGCCUAUAACUAGGUGUUAUAUUACUUUAAGGUCUGCUUUUUAGUUUGCAUCUUUGGCACUCCUGGCUAUAUUGGCCUUUUUUGCAAAAUGGAUCAUUUCUACAAAUUGAUUUUGGACCAAGAUUAUUUGAAGUUUAAAUCAAUAUAAGUUUUAAUGAUGUAUUUCCAUGUCUUAGAGGUCACCGUUGUUGAGUUUUCUUUAAUAGCCACUCUUAGUUAUUUAGGUUAAUUUUUAAAAAAUAGCCCAAUCUCGUCUUGCAUGUGUCCAAUAAGAGGUGUGGUCUCUCAUAGUGUCUUAAGUCAUUUAAUCUGUUUGGUCUUAUUUUUCUCAUUCAGGUAUGGAUCAGUGUAUCAGAGCUCGAGGUCAGGACCAGUGCAUUUAGGAGUUGCUUAUAGAUAUUUUUUAUAUUUUGAGUUUGUCAUUCAUGUUGCCUUUUACUUUCUAGUCUUGUACAGAAAAAUCGAAUCUGUCAAUCUAGUUAAGAUUUUCGAGUCUUUUGUUAUAGUACUUCCUGUUUUGUAAUUGAAAACCAAAAAAGUUAUAAAUGAAAAA
rnacentral:lncRNA from 1 species